rnacentral:rRNA from 1 species
ACCACCAAGAUUAACUCAAAAGUAUAGAUAAUUUAGCAUUAAAUGAAUAACAAAACUAAAUCAUUUUUCCACCUUAGUACGGGAGACGGAAAAGGUAAUUUAAGCAAUAGAGAAAGUACCGCAAGGGAAAGCUGAAAGAGUAAUGAAAUAAUUCAUUUAAGCACAAAAAAGCAGAGCUUAACCCUUGUACCUUUUGCAUCAUGAUUUAGCCAGCACUACUCAAGCAAAGUGACCUUUAGUUUGAAACCCCGAAACCAAGUGAGCUACCCCGGGACAGCCUUAAAGGGCGAACCCGUCUCUGUGGCAAAAGAGUGGGAAGAGCCCCGGGUAGAGGUGAUAAACCUACCGAACUUGGUGAUAGCUGGUUGCCUGAGAAAUGAAUAGAAGUUCAGCCUCGUAUCCCUUUAGCCAACCAAGAAAUAUCUGAAUAAGCACAAAAGAGAAAUACGAGAGUUAGUUGAAGGGGGUACAGCCCCUUUAAUAAAGGACACAACCUUAAAUAGGUGAAUAAGAGUCACACUUUAUAAAACUAGUUGUUCCAGUGGGCCUAAAAGCAGCCAUCUGAGUAGAAAGCGUUAAAGCUCAAACAACAUGCAGUUUAUUAUACUGAUAAAUAACCCAACUCCCCUAAAAAUAUCAGGCCAUUCCAUGCCACCAUGGAAGAGACCAUGCUAAAAUGAGUAAUAGGAGGAUAUGAUCCUCUCCUAGCACAAGUGUAAGCCAGAUCGGACAAACCACUGGAAAUUAACGAGCCCAGAAAAAGAGGGUAAUGUGGCCAACAAAAAAAUCAGGAAAAUACCACAGCAUUUAUAUCGUUAAACCCACACUGGAGUGCCUCCAAGGAAAGACUAAAAGAAGGGGAAGGAACUCGGCAAACACAAGCCUCGCCUGUUUACCAAAAACAUCGCCUCCUGCAAAUCCCUACGUAUAGGAGGUCCAGCCUGCCCGGUGACUACAAGUUUAACGGCCGCGGUAUUUUGACCGUGCAAAGGUAGCGCAAUCACUUGUCUUUUAAAUGAAGACCUGUAUGAAUGGCUAAACGAGGGCUUAGCUGUCUCCCUUUUCAAGUCAGUGAAAUUGAUCUACCCGUGCAG